rnacentral:lncRNA from 1 species
GCGUGACCUUGGGUGAGGUAGGUAUGGAGGAGGAAGAGGUCUCCGAGCAGAGCAGGGCUGGGGAAGGCUUCCUGUAGGAGCUCCGAUCCAAGCUGGACCUUGAGUGUGAGCUGGCCUAGGGGAAGCCAAGGGGGCCCAAGCAGUGAGGCGGGGAUGAGUAUUUGGGGGUAGUUUGGAGCCAUUGGUCCGGCUACUCUGGCCACACAAUUGUGUGAGAAGGAAGUAGGGGAGAAUCAUUCCUUUUGGAGAGGCUGGAUUUGAGUGGAUGGCCAGGCAACCACAUGGACAUGUCCAGGAGGCACUUCCAAAGUUAGAAAUAUGGACCCCUGGUACAGGUGAGCAUGAGGGGCGACACUGUCUUCUGAGGAAGAAACUACAGAAGGAGGACUGGAGAGCCGACGACAGGGUGGACAGGGAGACAGUUGGGGGGAGGAAAGGAGCCAGUGUGCAAGAUAGAGGAUCGGAGCACCUUGUUCUGCACAGGCUCAGAGAACGAUUCUCAAGGGGAAGGAGGGAGGAGUGGCUCAUCUGUGCCAAAUGUGAAUGAAGUUUCCAGAGGUGCGGGAAUUGGGCAGAGGAGCACAGGAUUAUCCAUACAACGGGGAGCAUUCAUAAUAAAUUGCCUGGGUCUCUUCCUCUCUCCCAGAAGAGCACCUUUUCUCACAUUGCUGGCAAAAAGCAUCCCAGAGGCCCCAACAGCAGGGCUCAGACUCUGGCCAUCCCUGGGGCUUCGGAGGGAGGGGGCCCAGGCUCUCUGAUGGGUGCCAGUGUCCACCCUUCCCAUACAGCUGACUGAUGAUGGGGCAUGAGCAUGGCCUUUGAGCUGCUGAAAGGGAAGUGGCCACAGUCUGCCUGGGUAGGCAGGUGGGGGCAGGCCUGCCUGACAGCUCAGCAGCGAGGUGGCCUCUGCCUCACCCCUCCAGGUUCCGGAGUCACCUCUGUCCUACAGCUUUGCACAGAAGGGCUCACCGGGAGUGAGGGGAAGCCUCUCUCCUUGAACAAGCCUGGCCGUGACAAAAGCUGAGCUUGACCUUUUUCACGACAGGCCCCUUUAUAUAUUGCUGGCGCCAGGCCCCAGGCUUCCAGCUCAGCUUUUCCCGGGACCUGUCCUAGCUGUUGCUUUCGGCCAGGCUGGGCUUCACAAGAGAGGUGGGGUGGAGUUCUGGCCCAGGGAACAGUGAAACGGCUUCAGAAACCAAGGUGUGGCUAAUCUGAUCCAGGAACAUCUGCCCCGCCCAUGCCCAUUAACCUUUUUUGGCACCAGGGUAGCUUUAGCCUACUCAGCCUCUUCUCCACCACUCUAAUAGAGGUAAAGUUUGGGGAGUACAACCGGGAGAGGAUAAGUGGGUGGGGAGAGUGGUUACAGCUAUAAGGGAGGCAGCUGUGAUGAUUCACGCAGAAAGAACAGGGUUUCCAGUCAGAGGGGCCAUUCUGAGCAACUCACGUCUCUUCCCGGGGCCUUCAUUUCCUCAACAACAAAAUGCAAUUAGGAGUAUUACACGGCUGGCACAUUUUAGAGGACUGUCACAGGUAAACGAGAGAGAGAAGGAACUUUGCAAACUGUCAAGGUUAAAUAAGUGUUGGUGGGUACCUUGACCACUGUCACUUAAGGAGUUUUCAACAUGAAGCCUGUGGAGCCUGAAUCUGGGGGAUCUGUGGGGUGCCUGAAAUAGUGUGUAAAAUGCACUUGCGGCCUCUUGAGAAGCAUGCAUCAGUUUCUCAAAGAGGUCAGGGACCCAACAAAGUUUAAUAUCCAGACACGGCCCAAGUCCGUCCUCCUCACUUCUCCGAUGAGUCAGCUGAUACCCAAGGUCACACAGCUUGUCAGAGGCAGAGCCAGGAUGUGGGGCCCUUGUUCUCUGCCCUCCCUCCUGGGUUAACCAUUGCCCCUUCCAUGUCAGAUGAGGGAGAAAAUGUUAGAAGGGAGCAAGUGUGGGGAGAAAAGCCAGACGAAGGGCCCAAGCCACUAUCCCUGCUCGGGGUUUCCAGAAUGAGGACAUCAUGGUAGAGGUGGGGGGACAGUGAGAGACAGGAGAAUGAGGAGGCUCCAAGGAUGGGAGAGGCCCUUCCUGGAAGCCCAGAUUUCAGAGUAAGUGAGUCAUCCUCCCUUUCCCAUAAAGCCCCCACAAAAGACUCAGAGGAGGAAACACAACGCUUUCUCUAACACUGUCUUGAGAUGACUUUUCUGGUUACUUUUUUGGAAAAAAAAAAUUGGGGGCCGGGUGCGGUGGCUCACGCCCACCCAGCACUUUGGGAGGCCGAAGUGGGUGGAUCAUGAGGUCAGGAGUUCAAGAACAGCCUGGGCAACACAGUAAAACCCCAUCGCUACUAAAAAAUACAAAAAUUAGCUGGGUGUGGUGGCGCAUGCCUGUAGUCCCAGCUACUCAGGAGGCUGAGGCAGGGAAUCGCUUGAACCUGGGAGGCAGAGGUUGCAGUGAGCCAAGAUCAUGCCACUCCACUCCAGCCUGGUGAAAGAGCAAGGUUCCGUCUAAAAUAAUAAUAAUAAUAAAAUAAAAUAUUCUAAAAGUAUGACGUCAAGAUGGCCUUAAAAAAAAAAGCUUUAUGGAAAACUGUGACAGGCCAUAUACAAAUGUGAGGUAUUCAUCACCCA